rnacentral:rRNA from 1 species
CCCUUAGAUGUCCUGGGCCGCACGCGCGCUACACUGAGUGUCUGAGAUACGAGUCUGCCUGGUCCGGCAAGGUCUAGGUAAUCGCUAAAAGACACAUCAUGCUUGGGAUAGAUUAUUGCAAAUAUUAAUCUUGAACGAGGAAUUCCUAGUAAGCGCAAGUCAACAGCUUGCGUUGAUUACGUCCCUGCCCUUUGUACACACCGCCCGUCGCUACUACUGAUUGGUUGUUUAAGCGAGGUUCUCGAACUGCUAGCGACUUAGCUUCGGUGAGGUCGCAGUGUGGGAAGUGAACCUAGCUUUGGUGUCUAGAGGAAGUAAAAGUCGUAACA